rnacentral:rRNA from 1 species
UCGAUGAGUAGGGCGGGACACGUGGUAUCCUGUCUGAAUAUGGGGGGACCAUCCUCCAAGGCUAAAUACUCCUGACUGACCGAUAGUGAACCAGUACCGUGAGGGAAAGGCGAAAAGAACCCCGGCGAGGGGAGUGAAAAAGAACCUGAAACCGUGUACGUACAAGCAGUGGGAGCACAGGUUUACCUGUGUGACUGCGUACCUUUUGUAUAAUGGGUCAGCGACUUAUAUUCUGUAGCAAGGUUAACCGUAUAGGGGAGCCGGAGGGAAACCGAGUCUUAACCGGGCGUUAAGUUGCAGGGUAUAGACCCGAAACCCGGUGAUCUAGCCAUGGGCAGGUUGAAGGUUGGGUAACACUAACUGGAGGACCGAACCGACUAAUGUUGAAAAAUUAGCGGAUGACCUGUGGCUGGGGGUGAAAGGCCAAUCAAACCGGGAGAUAGCUGGUUCUCCCCGAAAGCUAUUUAGGUAGCGCCUCGUGAACUCAUCUCCGGGGGUAGAGCACUGUUUCGGCUAGGGGGCCAUCCCGGCUUACCAACCCGAUGCAAACUGCGAAUACCGGAGAAUGUUAUCACGGGAGACACACGGCGGGUGCUAACGUCCGUCGUGAAGAGGGAAACAACCCAGACCGCCAGCUAAGGUCCCAAAGUCAUGGUUAAGUGGGAAACGAUGUGGGAAGGCCCAGACAGCCAGGAUGUUGGCUUAGAAGCAGCCAUCAUUUAAAGAAAGCGUAAUAGCUCACUGGUCGAGUCGGCCUGCGCGGAAGAUGUAACGGGGCUAAACCAUGCACCGAAGCUGCGGCAGCGACACUCAGGUGUUGUUGGGUAGGGGAGCGUUCUGUAAGCCUGUGAAGGUGUGUCGUGAGGCAUGCUGGAGGUAUCAGAAGUGCGAAUGCUGACAUAAGUAACGAUAAAGCGGGUGAAAAGCCCGCUCGCCGGAAGACCAAGGGUUCCUGUCCAACGUUAAUCGGGGCAGGGUGAGUCGACCCCUAAGGCGAGGCCGAAAGGCGUAGUCGAUGGGAAACGGGUUAAUAUUCCCGUACUUGGUGUUACUGCGAAGGGGGGACGGAGAAGGCUAUGUUGGCCGGGCGACGGUUGUCCCGGUUUAAGCGUGUAGGUGUGUGUUCCAGGUAAAUCCGGUCCACUUUAACACUGAGGCGUGAUGACGAGGCACUACGGUGCUGAAGCAACAAAUGCCCUGCUUCCAGGAAAAGCCUCUAAGCAUCAGGUAACAUCAAAUCGUACCCCAAACCGACACAGGUGGUCAGGUAGAGAAUACCAAGGCGCUUGAGAGAACUCGGGUGAAGGAACUAGGCAAAAUGGUGCCGUAACUUCGGGAGAAGGCACGCUGACACGUAGGUGAAGUGAUUUACUCA